rnacentral:lncRNA from 1 species
AAGAAAUGGUUAUGAGGACGAUGUCUGGAGGCCAUGUAUUUUCCCUCCCAUCAACCCUGCUGCUCAAAGCAAAGAGAGGGGAGACCCAGCCAUGCUCAGCCUCCAGGAGGAGCUCAGCCUCCAGGAGCUCAGCCUCCAGGAGCACCAGAGGAAAGUGGAGGACAACAAGCGUCUACUUGAGCAGCUGGCGCGUAUCGAGGAGGAGCUGGUAGACAGCCUUCGCAGGGAGGUGGCGAGAAAGAGAGAGCUGAACGUUAUACGACAGGAGGACAACAGGCUACGCUGGAGGACACUGUGUUUCCUUCAGCUCAACCAGCGCCUCAAAAAGCCAGUUGUAACCAGCUAUUACAAGAACAUCCCUAUGCACAUCUACUGUCUCCCUAUUCAGACUGUUGGAAAAGGCAACAGUAACAAGAAGAACAAGAAGAAGUGGCAGCGAUGAGAAUAAGAGGAAGUAGAAUAGGAGUGCAGUCUGGGAGGAUGCUUGUGACAGUUCAUCGGUUCCACUUCCAUGUACCACUGUGGGACACAGGACUAUGUAACUCACAAGUCCUGCUGAGCGCUGCUUCUUUAACAUUCUGUACUGCGUUGGAAAAAAGAAAGUCACAAAGAAUAUUUUGGAUAUCUAUAUGCUCUCUCUCCAGUAUUUCUUACUUUGCCAAUAUACUGAUAUACAGUGCCUUCGGAAAGUAUUCAGACCCCUUGACUUUUUCCACAUUUUGUUACGUUACAG